AUACGGAGGGUGCGAGCGUUAAGCGGAAUUACUGGGCGUAAAGCGUGCGUAGGCGGUUUGCUAAGUCAGAUGUGAAAGCCCCGGGCUUAACCUGGGAACUGCAUUUGAUACUGGCAGACUAGAGUAUGAUAGAGGGGGGUAGAAUUCCUGGUGUAGCGGUGAAAUGCGUAGAUAUCAGGAGGAAUACCAGUGGCGAAGGCGGCCCCCUGGAUCAAUACUGACGCUGAGGUACGAAAGCGUGGGGAGCGAACAGGAUUAGAUACCCUAGUAGUCC
rnacentral:rRNA from 1 species